CCGAUCUUAGCUCAGCUGGCAGAGCGCGAGACUGUAAUGGUUGCAAUCAAUUCAUCUUGAGGUCGCCUGUUCAAACCAGGCAGAUCGGA